rnacentral:lncRNA from 1 species
UAUGGAGGAGGAUACCAGGGUGGAAGGGGGUGGGUUCCCCAGUCUCAGCAAGGAGCACGUGGAGGUUAUGGUGGAGGCCGUGGCCGCGGAGUGCCCCAACAGUAUAGUGGACCUCCUGAAUAUCAAAGUAGGGGAAGAGGAGGGCCACCUCAACAAGGAGGAGGUCGUGGAGGAUAUGGUAGUGGCCGUGGAGGCACACCUGGUUCUGGUGGACCCUCCAGACCACCUGCUCCCGAGCUGCACCAAGCAACCAUGCCUGUGUAUCAAGCAGUGGUGACUUCUCAGGUUACUCCAGCAGAUGUGGGUUCUUCUGGUCUGCCUGAUCCUUCUAUAACACAGCAAUUUCAG